UACGUAGGUGGCGAGCGUUGUCCGGCAUUACUGGGUGUAAAGGGCGUGUAGGCGGGAAUGCAAGUUGGAUGUGAAAUUCCGGGGCUUAACCUCGGCGCUGCAUCCGAAACUUCAUUUCUUGAGUGCUGGAGAGGAAAGCGGAAUUCCUAGUGUAGCGGUGAAAUGCGUAGAUAUUAGGAGGAACACCAGUGGCGAAGGCGGAUUUCUGGACAGUAACUGACGCUGAGGGGCGAAAGCGUGGGGAGCAAACAGG
rnacentral:rRNA from 1 species